rnacentral:rRNA from 1 species
AACGAACGCUGGCGGCAUGCCUAACACAUGCAAGUCGAACGAGACCUUCGGGUCUAGUGUCGCACGGGUUCGUAACGCGUGGUGACCUGCCCUUAGGUUCGGUAUAACUCCCCGAAAGGGGUGCUAAUACCGGUUAAUGUCUUCUGACCAAAGAUUUAUCGCCUUUGGAUGGUCCCGCGUUGGAUUAGCUAGUUGGUAGGGUAAAAGCCUACCAAGGCGACGAUCCAUAGAUGGUCUGAGAGGAUGAUCAGCCACACUGGGACUGAGACACGGCCCAGACUACGACGGGAGGCAGCAGUGGGGAAUAUUGGAAAAGGGGCGAAAGGCUGAAACAGCAAUGCCGCGAGAGUGAUGAAGGCGUUAGGGUAGUAAAGCUAUAUUACACGGGAAGAUAAUGACAGUAACGGGAGAAUAAGCAACGGCUAACUCCGUG